AGAUUGAACGCUGGCGGCAUGCUUUACACAUGCAAGUCGAACGGCAGCACGGGGGCGACCCUGGUGGCGAGUGGCGAACGGGUGAGUAAUGCAUCGGAACGUAUCUUUAAGUGGGGGAUAACGCAUCGAAAGAUGCGCUAAUACCGCAUAAUCUCUGAGGAGAAAAGCAGGGGAUCGCAAGACCUUGCGCUUUUGGAGCGGCCGAUGUCUGAUUAGCUAGUUGGUGGGGUAAAGGCUUACCGAAGGCUUCGAUCAGUAUCCGGCCUGAGAGGGCGGACGGACACGACUGGGACUGAGA
rnacentral:rRNA from 1 species